AGAAAAAAGCUCACUCAUCUCAAGGUCACUUCAUGUGACUCCCCCAGCGCCGGUGACCGGACCCCGCUCCCGUGCCUCUCCGCCGCUGGCCUCGACGGCGUCCUCCUCCUUCCGCUUCCUCCAUGCGACUGGAGACUACGCGGCUCUCACGAAGGGCUAGGUGACCCAAGCUCACCCAGCGGGAUGCGCCAAGAGAGGUGGUCAGGUGGAGGACCGGAUAUCGUCUCCACGGGAUUCUCUGCCGUGGCCUCCGCCACCGGAGUUCGGUGGAUCUGGGUCGGCCUCCUCUCCGCCACCGACGCCGUCCGCCGCCAAAUGAGCUCCCUUCCACAUCAGAUGUCUUCAACGCCGCUGACCAUGGCGGCAUCACUCUGGCCGGGCUCACUACCGAUGGACGGUCCUCUCCGGCUUCCUCUCCUGCGAGUGCAUCACCCACGGCUUCGUCUACGACGCGCAGGUCCGUCCCUCUUGGCUCUCUCUCCGUCUAUGCGCGACCCCACUUUGGUACACUACAAGUCUACAAUCAAAACUUACUGCUUCGCCUUGUAGAAAUACACAUCCGUGUGAAGCAAGCUAAUUUUCUAGAUGGGCCUGUAGAAUUUUCUGUGAGAGAAUUAGACUGGUAUCUCGAUUCUGGACAAACCAUUUAGAUGAAAUAAUGCCUCUGAUUGGAUUUGCAAUAGGUAAGUGUUAUCACCUAAAUCAUCAUGUAGAUGAAAUAAUGCUUGCGUAAAAAAUUGCAUAUGGUGUGCUGUUAGUUAUCGAAGAUGGAGUUGUGCAAACAGCUGAUGAAGAAUGUUGAAAUCCUACAAAACUUACUUGAAUGCAUUUUGUAAGAUGUCUACUUCUGUGUAGAGCAAGAAAAUCUUAUCUCCUAUAAUUUCAUUUCUAGGAAAACAAAAUGAGUAUUAUAAAUUUCUCUAGAGCCAGAUAUAUGGAUAUCGAUACAUAGUAACCAUAUUUAAUCCACCAGAUGUAUUGAGCUGAUCUUGUGUCUGAUUUCUCUCAUAUUUUUUCCCUAUUAAGGUUAUACAACCAAGGUCUGUCCCAAAGCAUGCAUGCUUGCUUUAUUCCUUCUUAUAAUCCAUUGACAACUCCACUAAAGUAAACUUUUUGGUGGUGGAGGGGCAUACCUCGUCUCCACUGGAUCCGCAGCCACCGCCACCGGCGUUCGAUGCCUCUGCGUCGUUCUGUAAUCUUAACCCUCACUCUUCUUCACGCGGCGGCAUCCGAUCGGACGAUGAUGAUGCUGGAGGUCGACGUGGCGGGGACAUCGACGCCCGUGGAUGAGGCAAAGGGGCUCUGAAUCGGCGGCUGGAGGAGGCCAUCAGCGGGCAGAUAAAUAAAGAGUUUAAAGCUUAUGUUGAGCAAGGCCAGAGUGAAGUGGUCACUGGAAUAGUACAGAUGACGUGGGUUUUUUCGAGUAUGUUGAAGCACUGGUGCUCUUAGUGUCCCUCUUAGACAGGGCAGCCGUCUUGAGAAUCGUGGUGCAUAUCCUGUAGAGUUUGGUGUGCAGGGGCUCAGGAAGCAGUCGAACCUGAACUUGAAGAAAGUGCAGAUGUGUGCAUGCCGCAGGAGCUUGUCUCCGCGUUGACAGGCGUUCAGGGUUGGUGCUCGUGCCGGAGGGAGCAUGUCCGCGCGUUCAAGGAAGUGCAGUGUGGCAUCCCGUGGAGGCUAUGGUGGCACUCUUGUGGGACAGCAGCGGGUGGCGCAGGGAGUGCUGCAGAGCAGGUGCGGGUGUCGCAGGAGCCUGUCCGCGCGUUCAGGGACGUGCAGUACGACCUCCCAUGGAUGCUAUGGCGGCGUUCUUGUGGGAUGGCAGCGGCGGCGCAAGGAGUGCUGCAGAGCGGGCGCGGGUGCCGGCGGGAGCCUGUUCCCGCGUUCAGGGACGUCUAGUGCGGCCUCCCGUGGAGGCUAUGGCAGAGCUCUCGUGGGACGGCAGCGGGCGGCUGUGGGCGAGCGGGAGCGCCUCGGCGGCAACCGGGGAGUUCGCUUCUGGACGGUUGGUUCGAUCGUUGUUUCUUGAUGAGUGGUUUUCUGAUCGUGGGUGGUUUUGUC